AAGAUUCGACCUUCGGGUCUAUCUCUCUUCAGCUGUGCGCUUUGGCUGCACGCUGUUGAACUUCCCACACCUGUGCACCAUUCGGUUGCGGUUUCGGCCGCUUCCGCUUUUACACAUACAACCACAGUCUAGAAUGUAAAACACAAUAACAAAUAA
rnacentral:misc_RNA from 1 species